rnacentral:lncRNA from 10 species
GAGGCCAAGGCAAGAGGAUCACAAGGUGAGGAGAUCAAGACCAUCCUGGCCAUUACAGUGAAACCCUGUCUCUACUACAAAUACAAACCAACUGACACCUGAUUCCAGAGGACGUGCAAAAUUGGCAGUGUCAGAUAGUACACUGGGUGUUAAGGGAUGUUUUCUUCAGGAACAAGCUUUCCACUUUAGAUAAGAAUUCUGCAAUUGCUACUCAAAAAUUACCUAGACAGAAAACCCAGCACAACUCUCAGUGCCAUGUUUCUUAAUUUAACAAAUCAGACCACAUACUUUACUUACAUUAGUUCACACCUCAUCAUCAUCAUGCCCAUAUGUUGUGAGCUUGUUUAUUGAGCCCACAUGCCAGAUGGAGAAACUAAGCCACAUAAAUAAAUGUGCCCUGGUUCACUUGCUGCAUAGUGAAGAGUCAAAAUGUUUACUCAAACGGUGCUAAUGUUGAAGGCCUGAACUACAACCUCUAUUUAUCAGCCAGUGAAGAGAUCACUAUUCACCAUGCAAGGGAGUUCCAGCACCCUCUAUGCCUGGAAUUACCCACGCCUGCAGAGAUCCCAAACGCCAUCCCUCACAUAAGACAGCCUCAUGAUCUCAUAAUCCAGGUAGCUAUGUAGACAUCUUCCUGCAGGUGUCACAUAGUCCUUAGUGUGAAACCAACAUAGAAAGCCCAUGUUUCUGAUCAAAUCACAGGUUCUGAAACACUAAGGGAGGCACUAAGUAGGACAACGUGGUGCCUGCGUGUCAUAGCUGGGUCUCCUCAAGACAUGGAUCAAGUCCAGUAAGAAUUGGGGAGAUGCUUUAGAGUCUUGAUGGAGUUAUCACCACAAGCCCUCUGAGCUACACACUUUAGGGAUCAUGACCAUUAAGUA